rnacentral:rRNA from 1 species
GCGGAGGGAUCAUUACCGAGUGAGGGCGCGAGCCCGACCUCCAACCCUUUGUGAACCAACCCUGUUGCUUCGGGGGCGACCCCGCCGUUUCGGCGACGGCGCCUCCGGAGGUCAUCAAACACUGCAUCUGUGCGUCGGAGUCUUGAAGUAAAUUCAAACAAAACUUUCAACAACGGAUCUCUUGGUUCUGGCAUCGAUGAAGAACGCAGCGAAAUGCGAUAAGUAAUGUGAAUUGCAGAUUUCAGUGAAUCAUCGAAUCUUUGAACGCACAUUGCGCCCCGUGGUAUUCCGCGGGGCAUGCCUGUUCGAGCGUCAUUUCACCACUCAAGCCUCGCUUGGUAUUGGGCGUCGCGGUUCCGCGUGCCUUAAAGUCUCCGGCUGAGCCGUUCGUCUCUAAGCGUCGUGGCACAUAUUUCGCUAAAGAGCUCGGGCCGGCGUUGGCCGUUAAAUCCUUCUCUAGGUUGACCUCGGAUCAGGUAGGGAUACCCGCUG